rfam:Bombyx mori DNA, contig: Bm_scaf126_contig38746, strain: p50T/Dazao, build 2, whole genome shotgun sequence.
AUAACUCAAAUUUGUAUGGAGUUGGAACAUUUGCCUACGUUCGCCGCUAGGGGCGCUGUUCCAACUGCAUACAAAUUUGAGUUA